AAUCAACGCUGGCGGCGUGCCUAACACAUGCAAGUCGAACGCGAAAGCCCUUUCGGGGGUUAGUAGAGUGGCGUCCGGGUGAGUAACACGUAGGUAAUCUACCUCUGGGUGGGGAAUAACUCGUCGAAAGGCGAGCUAAUACCGCAUAAUGCAGCGGCACCGAAUGGUGAUUUAGUUGUUAAAGCGGGGGACCGAAAGGCCUCGCGCCUAGAGAGGAGCCUGCGGCAGAUUUAGCUUGUUGGNGAGGUAAUGGCUCACCAACGGCUUCGAUCUGUAGCUGGUCUGAGAGGACGGCCAGCCACACUGGCACUGACACACGGGCCAGACUCCUACGGGAGGCAGC
rnacentral:rRNA from 1 species